rnacentral:rRNA from 1 species
AACGAACGCUGGCGGCAUGCCUAACACAUGCAAGUCGAACGAGACCUUCGGGUCUAGUGGCGCACGGGUGCGUAACGCGUGGGAACCUGCCCUUAGGUUCGGAAUAACUCCCCGAAAGGGGUGCUAAUACCGGAUAAUGUCUUCGGACCAAAGAUUUAUCGCCUUUGGAUGGGCCCGCGUUGGAUUAGCUAGUUGGUAGGGUAAAAGCCUACCAAGGCGACGAUCCAUAGCUGGGUUGAGAGGAUGAUCAGCCACACUGGGACUGAGACACGGCCCAGACUCCUACGGGAGGCAGCAGUGGGGAAUAUUGGACAAUGGGCGGAAGCCUGAUCCAGCAAUGCCGCGUGAGUGAUGAAGGCAUUAGGGUUGUAAAGCUCUUUUACCCGGGAUGAUAAUGACAGUACCGGGAGAAUAAGCUCCGGCUAACUCCGUG